AGCUCCAAUAGCGUAUAUUAAAGUUGUUGCAGUUAAAAAGCUCGUAGUUGGAUUUCUGGUAUGAUGCGCCUGGCCCGCGGCGAUUACGUCUGUGUGUGCUGGUUGCGCGUCUGCCAUCCAUUUACAGAACGUGUCUAUCCUUUACUGGACCGGACUCGCGAUGUAGAUCUUUUACUUUGAAAAAAUUAGAGUGUUUAAAGCAGGCUUUCGCUAUGAAUACAUUAGCAUGGAAUAAUAAUCUAGGACUUCGGUUCUAUUUUGUUGGUUUCUAGUACUGAAGUAAUGAUUGAUAGGGAUAGUUGGGGGUGCUAGUAUUUAGCGGCCAGAGGUGAAAUUCUUGGAUUCGCUAAAGACUAACUUAUGCGAAAGCAUUCACCAAGGAUGUCUUCUUUA
rnacentral:rRNA from 1 species